AUUGAACGCUGGCGGCAUGCUUUACACAUGCAAGUCGAGCGGCAGCGCGGGGGCAACCCUGGCGGCGAGCGGCGAACGGGUGAGGAAUACAUCGGAGCGCGCCCCGGAGUGGGGGAUAACGCCGCGAAAGCGGCGCUAAUACCGCAUAUGCUCUGAGGAGGAAAGCGGGGGACCGCAAGGCCUCGCGCUCUGGGAGCGGUCGAUGUCCGAUUAGCUAGUUGGUGGGGUAAAGGCCUACCAAGGCGACGAUCGGUAGCUGGUCUGAGAGGAUGAUCAGCCACAAUGGGAAUGAGACACGGCCCGGACUCCUACGGGAGGCAGCAGUGGGGAAUUUUGGACAAUGGGGGCAACCCUGAUCCAGCCAUGCCGCGUGCGGGAAGAAGGCCUUCGGGUUGUAAACCGCUUUUAGUCGGGAAGAAAAGGCGCCGGAUAACACCCGGCGUUCUUGACGGUACCGGCGGAAUAAGCACCGGCUAACUACGUGCCAGCCGCCGCGGUAAUAC
rnacentral:rRNA from 1 species